CGAAAUCCUUAAUGGGUUCUCUCCCAAAGUCAGUGCCGGAGGAGUUGAUCAGCGUCGACGUACACGCUGCUUAUGACCUCAUCAACACCGGCAAACACCGCUACUUGGACGUCAGGACGGUGGAGGAAUUCAGUAAAGGUCACCCUGUUGAGGAUGCCAUUAACAUUCCUUACAUGUUCUUCACCCCGGAAGGGAGGAUAAAAAACCCAAAAUUUUUG
rnacentral:misc_RNA from 1 species